rnacentral:rRNA from 1 species
UACGAAGGGGGCUAGCGUUGCUCGGAAUGACUGGGCGUAAAGGGCGCGUAGGCGGAUGGCACAGUCAGAUGUGAAAUUCCCGGGCUUAACCUGGGGGCUGCAUUUGAUACGUGUUGUCUAGAGUGAGGAAGAGGGUUGUGGAAUUCCCAGUGUAGAGGUGAAAUUCGUAGAUAUUGGGAAGAACACCGGUGGCGAAGGCGGCAACCUGGACCGGCAUUGACGCUGAGGAGCGAAAGCCAGGGGAGCAAACGGG